rnacentral:lncRNA from 1 species
AUGGGAGAUCGAAGGGACAGCUGUAGACGGCCCCAUCUCUCCAGUAGGAGGUGCUGUAGACGGCCCCAGCUCUCCAGUAGGAGGUGCUGUAGACGGCCCCAUCUCUCCAGUAGGAGGUGCUGUAGACGGCCCCAUCUCUCCAGUAGGAGGUGCUGUAGACGGCCCCAUCUCUCCAGUAGGAGGUGCUGUAGACGGCCCCAGCUCUCCAGUAGGAGGUGCUGUAGACGGCCCCAUCUCUCAGUAGGAGUGCGUGUAGACGGCCCCAUCUCUCCAGUAGGAGGUGAUGUAGACGGCCCCAUCUCUCCAGUAGGAGGUGCUGUAGACGGCCCAUCUCUCCAGUAGGAGGUGCUGCCCAGAACUAUUGCUUUUUGCUGAUAGUGGAUAUUACCUUGAACAUAUUUUAUACAAGGUUGGUCUAUGUUGAAAAUUGGUUACCAUGAUGACAUAAUCCUGUGGUUGUAACUUUACUGUAAAACAUCUCAUGCCAAAAUCAUGGUGAUUAAUAUGGAGUUGGUCCCCCUUUUGCUACUAUAUCAGCAUCCAC